rnacentral:misc_RNA from 1 species
GAUGAAGAACGCAGCGAAAUGCGACAAGUAAUGUGAAUUGCAGAAUUCAGUGAAUCAUCGAAUCUUUGAACGCACAUUGCGCCCUCUGGUAUUCCGGGGGGCAUGCCUGUUCGAGCGUCAUUAUAACCACUCAAGCUCUCGCUUGGUAUUGGGGUUCGCGGUUUCGCGGCCCCUAAAAUCAGUGGCGGUGCCUGUCGGCUCUACGCGUAGUAAUACUUCUCGCGAUUGAGUCCGAUAGGUCUACUUGCCAGUAACCCCCAAGUUUUACAGGUUGACCUCGGAUCAGGUAGGGAUACCCGCUGAACUUAAGCAUAUCAAUAAGCGGAGGA